CAAGCUAGCUGGAUGAUCGCGGAUAUUUUUAUAAUAUCUGAGGAAAGUCCGGGCACCAGACAAACAAGAUGCCGGAUAACGUCCGGCGGGUUAUUCUUCAAGGAAUAAUUUAGGGAAAGUGCCACAGAAAUUAUACCGCCUUCGGGUAAGGGUGAAAUGGUGCGGUAAGAGCGCACCGCACGUUUGGUAACAAACGUGGCAGGGCAAACCCCAUCUGGUGCAAGACCAAAUAGGAACAACUGAUGGCUUUUGUCAUCCGGUACGUUUGUCUACUGUGUUGUUCGGGUAGGUCGCACGAGCUAUAUAGUAAUGUAUAGCCUAGAUGAAUGAUCAUACAUGGGGCUUUAUUGCCCUUGGACAAAACCCGGCUUAUAGGCUAGCUUGCACA
rnacentral:RNase_P_RNA from 1 species